UACGAAGGGGGCUAGCGUUGCUCGGAAUUACUGGGCGUAAAGGGCGCGUAGGCGGCACUGUUAGUCAGGCGUGAAAUUCCUGGGCUCAACCUGGGGACUGCGCUUGAUACGGCAGAGCUAGAGGAUGGAAGAGGCUCGCGGAAUUCCCAGUGUAGAGGUGAAAUUCGUAGAUAUUGGGAAGAACACCGGUGGCGAAGGCGGCGAGCUCGUCG
rnacentral:rRNA from 1 species